UUGCGCAGUUCUUGUUCCGUCCAGUUCCAGCCUUGAAAGCUGGAGGCGUUCACAUGGAUCUGAAUAAAAAGAUGUUGCUAUUAUAGGCACGAUGCAUUUACAUGAAUAAUGUCAUGAAAUAAUACUGUCUAUAUUUGCUUCGUUUUCUAUACUGCGUUAAUAUGUCACAGAGAUAAGGAAAUAUGAUUCUGGAUUUUAGAAAAGUAAUUAUUUCAUAGUCUCUACGUGAUACCUGAUCUUCCACCAUGAUCAUUUUUGAUGAUUAUAUCGUUUGGGAAUUGAUAUACCUGACUUUCCACCAUGAUGAUUAUAUCGUUCGGUACAUUCGGGCGGUCACCAUUCCUUGACGUGAGUGCCACGUCUCGGAUGUACGUCAACGUAGCGUUUAUGUCUACGACGCCGCCAUGGCCGUCCGGAUUCAUCCGGGAAAUGGCGCUUUGGAGUGCUUUUUUGUUUGCGUAAUGGUCGAGAUCCCACUGAUGGUUCAUCUUAUUGCCUUCUAUGAAGCUAAGUUCCAGCAGCGCUCCGUCGGUACCUAUGUGCACCGCGUCCACUAUGCCGUGUAGCAUUGCCUUCAAUGCAACGCGCCUUGCUGUUGACGUAAGGUUGCGCGAGUCUUGCACGAUUAACACGACGUCUCGCAUACAAGCUGCUGUAGAAAUCAAACAACGAACGUAUACUAUUGAAACGAUCUGGAAAAUCCAUAAGUUUUAUGGAACAUAAGCACAAAUAUGAACAUCAUAUGUUACCUGGAUCAGUAUGGACUGUCGUAGGGGGAGGAGGAGUAUUACAGAGGUUGUUAGAGCAACAACUGACUGCAAUAUUACGUCGGUUUACGUCACGUUUUCCAACCGGAAACGGCAUUUCUCCACCGUCACAGUCCUGAAGACAUACAAAACCUUGACGCAUGUAACAAAGGGGAGAAAGUAUGCCUGUUAUAUGAAUCACAAGGCUUAUAGUAUAUACUUAAUUUAAAACUGUAAUUAUCUGUUAGUCUGGCUAUCACUUCCUUGUCACAUUGUAAUACACAUAAUAUUAUAUUACGUAUAUUUAUUCAGCUGAAGAUAAAUAAUAAUGAAAUACACAUGGUUGUAAAUCUAUAAUAUUAAAAUAAUAAUAUUUUACUAUUAACUAUAUCUUUAUAUUCGUAUAGAUAUGUGUGUGUGCGUGUACGGAAAUAGAUGAAAGAGACAGCUUCCUUUCGACAUAUUCUUUGUUCAAUUUCAAAUUGUCAAUGAGUGUAAAAAUGAUGAUAGAAUUCAUUUCAAGCAUAUAAUUAUAUUCUACAUACGUAGGCUGUACCACAUGCCAUAAGGUAGUCAUGGUGGCCAUCCACAGUUGACAUCAUCUCCCUCAAAAGGCAUUGCUACAAUCACAUAAUCUAGAAGGUUAAAUGAGUCUUGUUCUGGGAAAACUGGGCUUAAUGCAUGUGCGUUAUGUGUCGCCCAGAUUAGCAUGUGCAGCCAACAGCCUUUGCGGACUUCACUUCUGGGACGACAUUUCAUGCACGUGCAUUAAGCCCAGUUUUCCCAGAACGAGGCUCGAAUUACAACAACAACAGUUAAUGUUUAUUCUUCAAAGCUUUGCAGUAGGGUUUCACGGCAGUGACACAAGCUUAAAAUAUUUUAAUGUUUACUGUUGAGUCAUUUAUCUUGCGCUGUAUUGUAUAGGUAACAGUGUAUGUAUAUGUCUAUAGAAAGACAUUAGGAUUGGAUCUGUUUGUUAUUAUUAAUAUAAUCAUUUGCUGAGAAAAAAAGAAUAAAACUUACUUUUUGCUUAUAUGCACUCUG